rnacentral:lncRNA from 1 species
UUCUCCAAGUGCUUUUCUGUUCCACUGAUUAAUCUGUCUCAAUGCUGUUGAUUUACAAAGUUUUCUUGGUAUUACCAGUAUUUUCAAGUAGAUACUAUUUUCCAACCCCUCCCUCUUAUUCUUUGUGUUAUGAACUGGGGUCGAAAUGGAUUCACACAGCAGGUCUUCCUGUUAGGGAGCACCACAAGUUCAGCUUAAAUGUAGUAUUAUGGCAGUCAGUAGGGCUGCUCAGAAAAACUGAACAGUUCUUGCUGUUUAUUUCUGGCUCUCCUAUCAGUUGGUUACCAUUUUCAGUUUACGUUUCUUUUGGUUUUCUAGCCAAGUAUAUAUAGGACAGUGGUUGUGUUUUGUAUGUUAAUGUUAAAUAAUUUGUCACCACAAUUGUGUCUGAUUUCCCUUUGACUCAUUCUUCCUAAUAUCUUUACUUCCUUUUCUAUCGAAUUGCACUUGAGAACAGUAAUUGGCUUGUUUGCAUACGUGUCUUGUUCUUAAUGUUGAUGGAUGUUUUAAUGAUGCACAACUUUACUUGUAUGAAGACAUGUAUUUUCUUCAUCGUAAUAAAAAUUAUACAUGUAUCCUUUCAACCAUUA